rnacentral:rRNA from 1 species
CUCGGAUCAGGUAGGAAUACCCGCUGAACUUAAGCAUAUCAAUAAUCGGAGGAAA